CUCUUUAUCAUUAUAAUUCCAUUUGUCAUAAUAUUUGUCUGUUCAGUGUUAUUUACAAUAUGUUAUUCAUCAAGAUGAGCUGUGAACAAAGUAGGUCAAAUUCUUGAGACUUUAGUGACAGAUUGACUUGCCGUUCCUAAUCAUCGCCUCUACUAAUCCCCAGCAUCCUCCUUAAAUCGUCCACAAACAUAGUCCACAAUAGUUGUUUCAACACUGAUAACUUUAUAUUUAUUGCAUGACUUGUAUUUAUAUCUGUAUGCCCUUUCCAUGAUGAACGUACAGACAGCCGUUGGUUACAAUACUGAGGAAGGUGUUUCUGUUACAGGUGCGUCGGAGGGAGACGAUUAGGUCAAAAACUGCAAAGAAACUCCCACACACUGUCUAACUUGCAAAG